rnacentral:lncRNA from 1 species
AAAAAUCCACCAAUCAAGGAUUGCCAUGUGUGAUAUUUUUAUUCAUUUUUACAAAAUAUUAUUUAAAUUGCCAAAAUUCCAUUAGAAAUAAUUUUGAAAAUUAAAAUGUUUUUAUAAGUUACAAAAGUUACUGUCCAAAAAGAAAAAACAUUCUCUGAGGUCGAGGUUAGGGUUCUUGUUUCAGAUGACAUUGCAAGUUGGAGAUGCCUAUAGGAAGCUCAAAAUCUUAUGGUGGGGGAUUGAGUGAGCCGAUUUGUAUUUCAAAUACCUUGGAGCAAAGGUAAGAAAUUAUAUGCGUGAUCAAAGUAUAAAGAGGUAUUUUUUUGGAAGGGGGACUUUGAUCAAUACCAUAAUUUGAAAGAAAUUAAUCUCAGUCUCUCAUUAAAGCUAUGGGUUAUCAGGUUAUAGAUUUAAUUUCCAAUUUGAUACUUUAUGUACUUGAUUAUUGAACCUUUUUAUUUUAUUUUAUUUUAUUUUACUUGAUGACUAAAAUUUUUUAUUAGUUGUUUGUACUUUAUUAUUAUCAGAUUGUCGUUGAUUGAUAUGAGUGAAAUACAGUUUUGAUGGAAGUAUGAUUUAACAAAUAUAUGGUAGGUUGUAGGGUGGGUGCAAAUUUUUUGAAUGGAUCAGAAAUUAUGAAGGGAAUGGGAAUGGGAAUGUUGAUGAUUAUAUUGGAUGAAGGAACUUUGUCACUUGAGUUUCUAAACCUCAUGUUUGAAUAGCU